UUAGGUUUUUUAUUAGGGAUGAAAAAAAAUUAUUUUACUAUAUAUUAUUGUAGUUUAUGAAUCAAGCAAUAUUUUCCUUUACAAAUAUUGCAAAUAUUUUUGAGAAAAUGGGUUUUAUUCUUAAUCAAUUACUCUGUAUUAGGUUUUAGAAUAGAAAUAUCAUUGACGCGGUCGCAAGGUGGACUCAAUUUCUACAGCUGAAUGAUGGCUACGACACUGCUACUUCUACUUGACAACAGGUUGAUCGCAUGUGUAAUGGCGGUUUACCACUUACUCAAGGAAACUGUUCGUAUGAUUAUUAUAAUUAUAUGUAUAUAUAUAUUAAAUAAACUGCUAUAUUAAAAAAAAAAAAA